rnacentral:rRNA from 1 species
GGAAUGCGCAGAUAUCAGGAGGAACACCGGUGGCGAAGGCGGGUCUCUGGGCAGUAACUGACGCUGAGGAGCGAAAGCGUGGGGAGCGAACAGGAUUAGAUACCCUGGUAGUCCACGCCGUAAACGGUGGGUACUAGGUGUGGGUUUCCUUCCUUGGGAUCCGUGCCGUAGCUAACGCAUUAAGUACCCCGCCUGGGGAGUACGGCCGCAAGGCUAAAACUCAAAGAAAUUGACGGGGGCCCGCACAAGCGGCGGAGCAUGUGGAUUAAUUCGAUGCAACGCGAAGAACCUUACCUGGGUUUGAUAUGCACAGGACGACGGCAGAGAUGUCGUUUCCCUUGUGGCCUGUGUGCAGGUGGUGCAUGGCUGUCGUCAGCUCGUGUCGUGAGAUGUUGGGUUAAGUCCCGCAACGAGCGCAACCCUUGUCUCAUGUUGCCAGCACGUAAUGGUGGGGACUCGUGAGAGACUGCCGGGGUCAACUCGGAGGAAGGUGGGGAUGACGUCAAGUCAUCAUGCCCCUUAUGUCCAGGGCUUCACACAUGCUACAAUGGCCGGUACAAAGGGCUGCGAAGCCGUGAGGUGGAGCGAAUCCUUUAAAGCCGGUCUCAGUUCGGAUCGGGGUCUGCAACUCGACCCCGUGAAGUCGGAGUCGCUAGUAAUCGCAGAUCAGCAACGCUGCGGUGAUACGUUCCCGGGCCUUGUACACACCGCCCGUCACGUCAUGAAAGUCGGUAACACCCGAAGCC